UCUUUUUGUGUUUAGUGCUACAAAUCCUCCCGCACAACCUCCUCCUCCUCCCGCGUCCUUCGCCGCCGCCUCACGCCGACUGCAGCCUCGCGCCGCCGGAGCCACGGGAGCCGCCGCGGGUCGCCGCCUCCCCAGCCGCGGGUCGCCGCCUCCGGAGCCGCAGCUUGGCCUCCGCCGCGGCGCCACUCCGCCUCCGUGGCAAGUAAGUUUCUAUUGCUGAACUCAUCUGUACUCAGAGACCAAGCAAUUAGCCGUCGUUAGUCGCCGGAGCCGCCCGCCGCGUCCUUCGCCGCAGGAGCCUCCGCCGGAGCCGCCCGCCGCACCCUUCGCCGCCGGAGCCGCCCGACGGGACCGGUCACCUCCUUCGCUGCCGCCAGGAAUCCCAUCACCGGCAAGGUAACUACACCCGUUCCUCCCGUCUUGCUUGCUGCGAAUGUGUGCUGUGUUGGUGGUUGAUGCUGCGUGCUUGCCAGCUUGUCACUGUGUGCUUGUCGCUGAUGGUCUGUUGUUGCUGCUGCUUUCAUGUAUAUGAUUUUUUUAGUCUGACUGUUAGACUAUGAUCCAUGCUCUUAAGGGAAGGGAUUAUUAUGUUGCUGAACUGGGAGUCCUCUGCCGCCAAGAAGGUUUGUGUUGGGGCUGAUGUUCCCCUUAGUGUCCGGGCAUUUCAAGCCCCUUACAUUGUUUCAAUUUUGGUGAGAAGCGAUUUACCUGUGCACGAGUUUCAGUGAAAUAUUUUUUUCCGUUCAAAAAAAAAACUUGCUGCAUUAAUUUGUUUUAUCUGCCGAGCAGGUGAUGGCGCACGGGGACGAGCUUCCUGGACAAGAAGAUCUAUGUAUUCUUCUCGAUGGUGCAAAGUUGAGGUGUUCUCAAAUCUCAGUGACCUAUUUUAUUUUACUAUUGACACUUGAAUGCUCUGUUCUUUCUGAUUAGUUUUUUUUCUUUAUUCUUAUGUUCUUUACUUCCGAUUUCAACUUUCCAAGGAUUUAUUAGUUAAUAAAAGUUCAAGGAUUGUUGGAGAACAUGGAGCCUUGGGUAGCUGAAGUAGAUCCUUCCUUAAGCGCCAAAUCCCUUCUAGUUCAUACGAAAAUCAUGAAGCAAAACAGUAGAAGAAUAUAAAAUAGGGAUGUCUAAAAAAAUGGUAGUCAAAUGUUUAAGGCAUGAAGACUGCAGCAAUGCGAUGGCUAUGCUGAUUAAGUCUAAUUAGUGGACUGGCCAUCACGAAGUCAUGUUUAACUAUCAAUAUGUGAACACAACAUGUGAUUAUGUGGAGUUUGUGAGGAAAAAUGAUAAGUUAAGAAGCUAGUUGGGUGAUUGUCCACUGGCGUUUUUCGGAUAAGAAUUGUCCACUGACGUUGGCCUGGUAUGUAAACUGUCUGCAUCUUUUACUGAGAGAUCACUAAUGUAUACAUUUUAUGCAUUGAAUAUCACUGGGCAUCAUCUUCUGACUGAUAUGGACAAUCUCUUGCAUUAUCUUGAGGUGGCUGGCCAUAUAUGGACUUAGCCUAGAAGCUGGACCUAGAGGCUUCCAUAAUCCCAGAGAGGGUUAUACGUGCGUUGCACGUCCACACCCACAUCUCGACGGGUAGAAAAUUAGCGCAAGGAUCAAAUCCCCCGACCUGUUUUUCUUUCUUUCGGUCUUUGUCCUGAACUGAAUCCUAUCUUGUUCGCUGCAACAACAAGAUCUAGCUACCGGUGGGGAUAUAGAGGACACCAGGAUGGACAACACGUUGCCAUCGAGUUUGCCGAGCUCGCCAGGACAGACCAUGAGUUGGUGACCUCCGCCGACGAGGUUACCGUCUAUCUCCAGAGCCCCAUUGAUGUCAUGACCCUUGCCACCUCCACCGCCACCACCAUAGGAGCGGUGUCACCCUUCGAGCAGAGCUAAAAAGAGUGAUGCUAUUCCUUGGUCAGGUUAUGUUGCAGAUUAUUAUUUUGAGGAAAAACAUUUAUGGAACUCAGUGUCUUUUAUUUUUAUUUUCCUGAAUUUGCAGCCGCUAAGUUUCUGAAGCUUGAUCGACAUCUUUUUAAGCAAUAAUGGUAAUCACGAGUGACCUGAUACCGAUAUGCAUCCUUGCAACCGAUAUUGCUUUCUAUCUGAUUUCGCUCAAAUUGAACAGUUUGGCAGUGGGUGUUGGGUAGUAGUUUUGAUCAAUUCAUGAUAUUGUGUGAAAUAAUCCUAUUGGAUUGGUCUCCAAUUUUAUGUUGUGGAUUAAAAAAAGUAGCAAUGGUUUACAAGUCCCCGCUAAAAACAAGUAAACCUGUUGUUGUCAAAAUUUCAAACCAACUAAGCAAGCAGAGAGCAAUGAUUGCAUAGCAAUAAGGGCCUGCCUCGGUCGUUUGACAUAUGACAUGACAUAGACAUCAUUUACAAGUCCAAGAACGCUCUACAAAAACCAGUUACCCAAACUUACCCUGAGCUUGUUAAUUAAUAGUUUAAUACUAGGAUUCUUAUGCAUGUCUACUGUUGUUUAGGAAGCUCAGGACAUGAUGGUAGACAUCAUUUACAAGUCCAAGAACGCUCUACAAAAACCAGUUACCCAAACUUACCCUGAGCUUGUUAAUUAAUAGUUUAAUACUAGGAUUCUUAUGCAUGUCUACUGUUGUUUAGGAAGCUCAGGACAUGAUGGUUCCCUUUUGGACAAAAAAGAAAAAAUAGUACCAACGUGUUAACCUAAUGCUUAGCUGAUUAACUGCAGAUCAAAAUUUAUUUAUCCAUGUUUCCGCAAUAUAUAAGUACACGUGGUUAUUGGUCAGUGACCUGGGCAUAUGUAAACUUUUAUGCAUUCUGAAUUUUUAGCCCUUAUGUUCUUGUACGUUAUUCUUUAUUCAGCCAUAUAACUUACCUGUACUUCGGUUGCUCUACAUUUUUCUUUUUCGUCACAUAUUUGACACUUUGUAGAAUCUGUGUGUAUCUUUAAAUCUCCAAAAUUGCAGAGGAGUGCUACAUUAUUUCAUUAGUCCAUUUUAGAGCAUAUCAAAUGGAGCAACUUAUUUAGUGGUAAAAUCUUCUCUCCAAUGUCUGCUGCUGGUCACGCCCUUUCGACAGUCGGUACAUAUUUUCUCUUGGGUAAUUUGCUUCACCUAAUCUUUAGUACCACUUCUAUCAUGUAUUGUGAUUGGGAAAAGCUUACCUUCUGCCGGCCGAUUGCGCCCGCCAGUCCGCCGGCUCCGUGGCCGUCCGAUCUAUACUUUAUCAGACGGUCGAGAGCACUCCCGUGUCUACUGGAGGCAUGUCCAUUUCUUGCAACUCACCUCUUGUUUCAGGACAACCAUUCCUGCAACGGGAUAACAGAAGGGGUCUUUCAUUGCGCAACAGCGUGGCUUGUGUGGCUGGGAGUGUGAGCGGUUGGAUUUGGGAGGGCGGCGGACGCGGCGGCGCAAGGCAUUGGGCGACCGGGGCUUAUCCAACGUGGUGGUGUCGACGACUGGCUCCUUCCCUAAUUUUUUGGCCGAUGUGGUGAUGGUGGUGUUGCCUGCAAUUUCUCUUGUUUCUACAACAGAGUGUUUCUGCUAUAGAGCGUUUGUUGCGGGAAGUAACGAGUGGGCAUGCGGUCUUGUUUCUGCAACAUAGCAUUUGUUGCAGGAAGUAACGAGGUGGCAUGCGCUUUGCAACAGGGCGUUUGUUGCGGGAAGUAACGAGUAGGGCAUAUGCGGUCUUGUUUCUGUGCAACAGAGCAUUUUUUAUGGGAAGUAACGAGUGGGCAUGCAGUCUUGUUUCUGCAACAGAGCGUUUGUUGCGGGAAGUAAUGAGUGGACAUGCGGGACGCGGACACUACAUCAGACGACUAUCAGCUCGGGCAUCCAAGGGCCAUCAAGGCGGCAGAUAAUAUGUAAACAUCGGCCGGCGGAAGCGUAGCAGCGCCCAUUGUGAUUCACCUUUAAUGUCAGUAUUUUGUGCAUGGCCCCUUAAGCUCAUGUCUUCUAUUGCCGUUUGCAAACUAUCAUUUUCGGUCAGCUCAUAUCACUCUAUGCAUGCUAUCAAUUUUUCUUGCUUACUAAAUGGUAGUCUGGCCAUGACCUGUUUGUGUCAUCAAAGAAGGGAAUUUUCCUUCUUUUUUCUACUUUUCUCUUGUGUUUGUAAAAUAUAUUAUUUUUUGUUGUAUAUUACAGAAGGAUUGGGCAUGGAGGUUUCAGAUCCACAUGUGAGUGUUUAUGUAUAUAUUAUACGUACCUCUGUAUAUCUUUCCAAAUUCCAUCUUUUGGCAUUACCAUAUUUUUAAAGAAUGGUUGUUUUGUGAGUCAUUUGUUUACUUAUGUUGUGUUUUCACUGACCAUGAGUGGAUUAUUAUAAAACACUUUGUUGGACAACAGUAUUCUUGCGGUUUGUGGCUAGGUUGGGCACCAAGUAUAAACUGGUAA